UUGAUCCCACUUCUUAACUGGCUGCUUUAUCAAGUCCACCUUUCUAAUGCCAAGAAAUCAUCUGCCACAACUGAAAUCAAACACAAGUUGGAUAAUGACAGCGGCAAGGACAUUUUUAAGUUGGGGAGAAAAGAUCUUCUUCCGAAAGUGAAGGGAACCAAAACAAAACAAUAAUUGGUUAUAUUGACCGAUGAGAGCGUGAAAAGAGAGACCGGAUUGAUGCAAACGUUGUCGUAUUGUUGCAGAGUACACCACUAUAGUGUUGCUAACAAUGGCAAACUUCAGGGGUUUAAUUUUGAUUAUUAAGACUGGGAGAUGAAGGUGAUUAUGCAUAUACCAUUACUGU
rnacentral:lncRNA from 1 species